CACUCUGUAAUUCAAUGGGAAUGAAAUACACAUAUUUGCAUCAAUGAAAGUGACACAAUUUAAAUCCAGAUGCUGACGACCCUCAAUUCUGCUUCUUCAUAUUUAGUGUAAAUCCAAACAGCAACGCUCCUGAGUUUGUGUCCCACGUCACCUUCAGUCCGCUCAGAGCAGAGGAAUCAUUUCCAUAGAGAGGAGGCUUUGCAUCGUCAGCUGAUCCUCCACUGAACUGAGAAGCUUUAUAGUCCUGUGACUCCAACUCUGCAGGACUCAGACCCGUCAGUCGACCACAACCACCAUGACUCUCAUCACCCUCCUCAUCUGGACGCUGGCCUGCUGCAGCUUCACAGGAUGCAGCGGCCAGAUGACUGUGACUCAGCCUCCAGUCGUGACAUUUACUCCAGGAUCCACUGUCACGCUGACCUGUAACACCAACCCCAGAGCUUAUGCGUAUAGUUCGGGUGAUUUAUUGUCCUGGUACCAGCAGAAACCUGGACAGGCUCCCAAGCUUCUUAUAUACUCAGCAUCAACUCUAUAUUCAGGAACUCCCUCUCGAUUCAGUGGCAGUGGCUCUGGUUCUAGCUACACCUUAACCAUCAGAGGUGUUCAGGCCGAAGAUGUUGGAGAUUAUUACUGUCUCGGUACUCCUGAUAUCGCACGGUUCACACAGUGAUUUAGAGCCGUACAAAAACCUCCCUCAGUUUAACUGAAGUGAAACUGGUCUGCUGCAGCUGCACAGAGAAUAACUGGUCCAGUGAACACAACACAAGCACAGGAAUGGAAACACAACUGAAACAAACCCCACACACACUUCUCGUUUUGUAUUCUCCUCAUUCAUUUCCUGCUCUGAAGCUACUGACCGAACCUGGCACCGUACAUCAGUCCAAACAAAAAGCUCCAGGUUAUUGUUAUAGAUUUUGAAAUAAAUUCUUUAAUGCUUCAUAUGUAGUAUCCUCUACUGACGUGCAGAGAAGAGACACAACUGAAACCAUCUCCUGCACUGUCUGACACUGCAAUGAUCAAGACUGGAGGUUUUUCGUAAUGUGUAAAAUGUUGAAAGCAAAACAAGACACACUAAUUUAUUGUGACACACAGUUUUAUUAAUUGAUGAUUAUGAUAUUUUGAUGAAUGAGUAGGUUUGUUCAAAAAUAGAAUGAAACUAAUAAAAGUCAGUUUAAUUAAAAACACUAUAAGAGAUGAAGUAGAAUAUGCAGAUGAUCAAUACUGAAAAUCAACAUGGACACUAAAACCCAGCAGAAAGCUGCAGAGAGGAGAUGUGCAGCUCAUCAAAGAAUCAGCAUCAUGUCAGACAGGAAGUGCUGUCGUCUCUCUACUCCGAGCAGAGGUCAAGAUUUAAUAAUUUAAAAAUAAAUAUUUGUGAACAUUUUUGUUACUUCAGAACAUUGAGAGAUGAAAGUUGAUUUAA